CAACCCCAAAAAGACCUGUCAUCGCCUGGUAUUCUACACCUCCACAAAUGACAGAGGCAAGCGCAGUAGAAUCGACUUCGAUGAAGAGUUUGACAUCAACGACCCAGACCUACUGCGCACACCACCACACACAUCGCUCGUCAUCAACGCAGGUUCGAAAGAGGCAAUACAAACAGUCAUGCUAACAGCACGACCUGAUACUCCGUACCAGCAACA
rnacentral:lncRNA from 1 species